rnacentral:lncRNA from 1 species
AUGUACCUGUCCCCUUCCCAUCGGUCAGGUCAGGGCUCACAUUCUUCUCCGGUGGCUAAUUUGAAACAAAUGGUUACUGGGAGAAGAGGGAAAGAGGAGGGGGGUCUCAGGAGGGCAUUUCAGCCGAAACCAGAGCAAAAUGGAGUCACCAAGAUUUCCAUUGAUGGAAAAGGCAUUAUGUUACUUCCCACAGUUCUAAGUGUGAAGUUGGUCUCUGAGGAGCCCCUCUGGACUUUUAGCACUAGCGGCCCCCCUGGUCCCAGGGGCAACAGCAUUGACCCUGAGUGCUCCUGGCAGCAAAGGAGAGCCUGGCCCCACUGGUAUUCAAGGCCCCCUGGCCCUGCUGGAGAAGAGGGCAAGAGAGGAGUCCAAGGUGAACCUGGACCUACUGGCCUGCCUGGACUCCCUGGCGAGUGUUGUGGACCGGGUGCUGCUGGAGAGCCUGGCAAAACUGGAGAGCGAGGUGUUCCUGGACCUCCGGCACUGUCGGUCCUGCUGGCAAAGAUGGAGAAGCUGGAGGUCAGGGACCCCCUGGACUUACAAGCCCCACUGCAGGCAAACCCAGUGACCCUGGUGCUCCUGGCCCCUGUGGAGCAAGAGGCAAGAGAGGUUUCCCCAGCGAGCAUGGUGAGCCUGAGCUCCCUGGCCCAGCUGGCUUCGCUGCCCCCCCCCCCCCCCCCGGUGCUAAUGACCAACCUGGUGCUGAAGGUUAUCCUGGCACUGCUGGUGCUAAAGGCGAUGCUGGGCCUCUGGCCCAUGCUCCUGGACCCAAAGAUGCACAUAGACGUGCUGGUCCGAUGUGCUGGUCCUCCUGGCGCUACUGGUUUCGCCAUAAGGUGUUUAAUCUCUGAGGUGAUUGGGAAAAUCAUGUUAACCAGAGCAGCAUUGGCUUUCAGCCCUCCCAACAGAAAAGGGACAGUUAGCCCGGUGUUUUACUCCUUCCCUAGGCAGGCCUACGCCCUGUCUCAGCAGGAAGUAGUUACCGAAGGGUCACCACCCCAUAUCCCCUUUAGGCAUAAAGGGGUAAAACACCUGGAGGGGGGAAUGAUAGGGAUGGAGUAG